GCGUUCAUAGCUCAGUUGGUUAGAGCACCGCCUUGACAUGGUGGGGGUCGUUGGUUCGAGUCCAAUUGAACGCA
rnacentral:tRNA from 1 species